rnacentral:misc_RNA from 1 species
GCUCAGGUCUGUUAUUGAAGUUUCCAAUUACCCUGUUUUUAUCUAUAUCAUCUAACUUUACAAAUUAUAUAUAUUUUUGGCAGUUUUUUAGCCUUUCCAUGUCCAUCUACUAUCUUUCUAUUUUCAUGAGAUGCAUAAUAUGUCAUUUUGUUUUAUCGUAUACACAUACAAAGUGUCUUUAGAAUUAUCUGUAAAAAGAAAGUUACAGUUUCAUUUGGUUUUUGUUUGAUAUUUGAGC